ensembl:lncRNA
GGACUCCCUGCCGCAAACCUAAACAUAUAUGGGAGGGUCUGGGUGGGCAUCUAACUUUGGUGGCGGCUCUGGUUCUGGACGCUGCCCCCCUUCUUUACAUUGAGCCAUCCGCCCUUGUAGCACUGACCCGUGGAUCAUCGCCGGAGGCUCAUUGCUGCGGUUCAUCGCUGGCGACCCCGGACUGGGAACCUUUCCUGUAGACCCCGGACUGGGGACCGUCGCUGGAGACCCCGGGCUGGUGACACGCACCUCAGGGCGAGUGCGGGGAGGAGGAACAGGGCGUACUGGGCUCUGGAGACGCACAGGAAGCCUGGUGCGUGGUGCCGGCACUGGUGGUACCGGGCUGGGGACACGCACCUCAGGGCGAGUGUGGGGAGCAGGAACAGUACACACCGGGUUGUGACGGUACACUGGAGACCUGGUGUGUAUAGCCGGCAUAAAUUUUUCUGGAACUUUGACACGUUUCAGGAUGAAUACGAGGAACUGACACAGGUGGCAUUGGACAGCUAACAUGCUCCUCAGGGCGAAUGCCAUGCAUACUACACCAAACCAACAGCUCUCUCUCUUCACUCUCCUCCAAUCUGUCCAAUAACUCCUCGACAAUCUCAGACUCACCCCUCAACUUCGCCGACUGCUCCAUGUGCCUCCCCAAAAAAUCUUGGGGUUUCUGUGGCCUACCUCCCCGACGUUGUUGCUGUCCUCUCUUACUUCUCUGUUCCUCCUGCUUUGUUUCCACCUGCCUCCAUGGUAGGCAAUCCUCUCCUGCCAAAAUCUCCUCCCACGUCCAGGAUCCUUUACCGUCCAGUAUUUCGUCCCAGGUCCAUUUUUCCACCAAGCGCUGUUCCUCCCUUUCACGCUGCUUGGUCCAGGUUUGAUGGGUUAUUCUAUCACGUUCGUCAUAACGAGGAGACCAAGGCGCAGCAUGAUAUGAAUACAUUCCUCUUUAAUAAAAGAGAACACUGAACAAACUAAACAAAUCAACAAAACAACCGUGAAGCUAUAUAUAACGAGUGUUGACAUACAACUAACCAUCAACAAUAACCCACAAAAUACCCAAGGAAUAUGGCUACCUAAAUAUGGUCCCCAAUCAGAGACAACGAUAAACAGCUGCCUCUGAUUGAGAACCAAUCCAGGCAACCAUAGACAUAUAAACCCCUAGACUAGUAAACACCAUAAACAUACAAAAACCCUAGACAGGAUAAAAACACAUAUACCCACCCUCGUCACACCCUGACCUGACCAAAAUAAUACAGAACACAUGGAUAACUAAGGUCAGGGCGUGACAGAUGCGAUAAGAUCAUGGGAUCAGAUCAUCCCACUCUACCUUUUGUGGUUGAGGUAGACGCAUCGGAGGUGGGUCUGGGGGAAGUUUGGACACAACGACAGGGGAGACCCACUAAAAUUGUAUCCUUGUGCUUUCUUCUCCGAGAAACUGUGCCCCGCAGAGAGCAAUUAUGAAAUCGGCGAUCGGGAGCUCUCGGCGGUGAAGUAGCUGGAGGAUGCCAAGGAACGAUUCGUCAUCCUCACCGACCAUCGGAACCUUGAGUACAUAUGGAGACUGAAUCUGCGCCAAGCCAGAGUGCUUAAAAGGACUCACCAAGAAUUAACAUACCAGACCAGAAAGCGUGAAGCGGUGGCUACAUGUUGAAAUGGAUAGAAUCUCUGAAACUACCAACACAAACUGAGAAGAUAAUCUACACUACGAGACCAGUCUGCAGCUGUGCAUGUAAGAGUGGUCCUAGAACUUUGACUAAAGACAUGAGGUGGAAAGGAGAAUCCCAUCUCAGACAACCGUUGGUGCAUUUGAAGUAUCUAUUUAAACAAACACUUCACUAUUGGAG